CGCCAGAGACGGGUCCGCGUCCCAUCAGCUAGUUGGUGAGGUAAUAGGCGUCACCAAGGCGAAGACGGUAGGCUGGUCUGAGAGGAUGAUCAGCCACACUGGAACUGAGACACGGUCCAGACUCCUACGGGGAGGCAGCAGUGGGGAAUAUUGCGCAAUGGGCGAAAGCCUGACGCAGCCACGCCGCGUGAGCGAUGAAGGUCUUCGGAUCGUAAAGCUCUGUGGGGGGAGAAGAAGAAAGUCGGUGAAGAGCCGGCCCUGACGGUAUCCCCUUAGCAAGCACCGGCUAACUCCGUGCCAGCAGCCGCGGUAAUACGGAGGGUGCAAACGUUGCUCGGAAUCAUUGGGCGUAAAGCGCGCGUAGGCGGCUGAACAAGUUGGAUGUGAAAGCCCUGGGCUCAACCUAGGAUGUGCAUUCAAAACUGUUCGGCUUGAGUCUCGGAGGGGGUCAGAGAAUUCUCGGUGUAGAGGUGAAAUUCGUAGAUAUCGGGAG
rnacentral:rRNA from 1 species